AAGACCUUAAGUUAAGCUAAACUGUGGGCCUUCAAAGCCUGAAAUGGGCUGUCUCAACCCAGGUCUUG
rnacentral:tRNA from 1 species